AUUGAACGCUGUCGGCAGGCCUAACACAUGCAAGUCGAACGAGUGGCGGACGGGUGAGUAAUGUCUGGGAAACUGCCUGAUGGAGGGGGAUAACUACUGGAAACGGUAGCUAAUACAGCAUACCAUCAGAUGUGCCCAGAUGGGCUUAGCUUUUUGGUGGGGUAACGGCUCACCAAGGAGACGAUCCCUAGCUGGGCUGAGAGGAUGACCAGCCACACGGUAACUCAGACACAGUCCAGACUCGUACGGGAGGCAGCAGUGGGGAAUAUUGCACAAUGGGCGCGAGCCUGAUGCAGCCAUGCCGCGUGUAUGAAGAAGGCCUUCGGGUUGUAAAGUACUUUCAGCGGGGAGGCGUUACCCGCAGAAGAAGCACCGGCUAACUCCGUGCCAGCAGCCGCGGUAAUUC
rnacentral:rRNA from 1 species